UACGUAGGGUGCGAGCGUUAAUCGGAAUUACUGGGCGUAAAGCGUGCGCAGGCGGUUUGUUAAGUCCGCUGUGAAAGCCCCGGGCUCAACCUGGGAAUGGCAGUGGAAACUAGCGAGCUAGAGUGUGGCAGAGGGGGGUGGAAUUCCACGUGUAGCAGUGAAAUGCGUAGAGAUGUGGAGGAACACCAGUGGCGAAGGCGACUACCUGGCCUGUUCUUGACGCUGAGGCGCGAAAGCUAGGGGAGCAAACGGG
rnacentral:rRNA from 1 species